rnacentral:lncRNA from 1 species
UUUUUUUUUUUUUUUUUUUUUUGGUUGCAGGUGUAGAGUUCUGUAUCUCCACACACUGCCACAUGAGCCUGACUUUCCAAUCCUUUUUAUAAUGAGGCCGUCCUCUUGCGAAGACCCCAGUGUUCCAUUUUCUCACAAUCUAAAAUUCAUGUACAUACAGACAGGUUAAUAUUGAUAAGCUAUUUAAGUGCUUUAGUGUUUCUCUGGUUUGUUUAAAACUCUGGACAAAUUUAGUCUUUUGUCACACUUUUUGAAAUGUUUUCAGAAGACAAGAAAGUAUAUUUUCUGACAACAAGCCAAGCAUCUGUACAGAUUAUACCAAUGACUGAAAUGAAGGGUUGUAAAGCCUACUCAUUCAUAUAAUCUUAGCAGAUAUUUCUGUCACUCAGGACACAUCAGAAACUGUUCUUCUUCUUUUUUUUUUUUUUAAUGAGCAAACUCUGUGUUGGAUCCUGUGGGGAUUUAGUAAAGAUGAAACAGUUGGAGUUAUGAUAGCUACCUAAAUAACUCUAUUUAAUGCAUGGUAGAAUGGAUUGAGUUUAAUAGGAGAUGCACAGAUAAAAUGCUUUGUGGAAAAGAAGAAAGCUGAUCUUCUUGUUGAAGGGGCUGGUAGAUGGUGAGGGAGGAAUGAGGGCAGUGUCAGAAGGCUGGGUCAGAGUUGGAUACGAUGUGACCUGAACUGUGGAUUUCUCCCAGAGACCCAGGGGGCCAAGCAGUCCAAUGUGAGAGGGAUGGAUUCUAAGUCAUAUGAGCAGAGUCGGAAUCAAGAUUGGGAUGGCACAGCUGGGAGUUCAGAGGUGGGAAGAUGAGAAUGAGAACAGUUUGGGAACAAUAAGGACGGAUGUCAGACACACGCUAAAUGGGGUUUGGAAAACAUCGAAUUUGAGGUGCUUGACUUGGGCUGCUCCCUUUAUUCAGCAAGAGGAUCACAUGGAGGAGAUGCUAUGUAAGCAGCGAAAGGUUAUGCCCAAUUUUGCUGGCACUGAUGGCUGUUUUAUUUGUGUAUAUGUGUGUGCAUCUGAAGGAGGACUGGAUUGUUUGUGCCGCCGAUUACGUGAUUACUACCAAACUUACGAAUGGAAUAAAACUUUAUUUGAUCUUGGAAACAGUCAUCAAAAGAAAAUAUUCAGAAUCAAAAAAUCACUUUAAGCUCUAAAUUGUCAAUGAAGUUUAGGUUGAGGCAAUCAACUGAAUAAUACAAUUUUUAGUCUUACCUUUAAUUAGGUGUGAUUAUAGUAGAUAUAGGUUAUCUAAGGAUAUAAAGGGGACAACCAGAAAAUUGGCACACUUUGGUCUUUGUUGUAUUGUCUUUUUUCGGUUAAGAACUUUACUGUGGUAUAUUUUACAUAUCAUGAAGUUUACCCAUUUCAGAUGUACACUUUAAUGAUUUUUGGUUACUUUGACAAGUACUGCUAUUAUCACCAUAACUUAGUUUUAGGAUAUUUUCACGCUCCAUCUAAGAUCCCUUCUGCGUACUUACUGUUGAUCCCUUUUCCUACCUUCAGCCCCAGGCAACCAUUAAUAUACUAUCUUUAUAAAUAUGCCCUUUCUGGAUAUUUCAUAUAAGUGGAAUCAUAUAGCCUGUGGUCUCUUGAAGUCUCUGGCUUCUUAGCAUAAUGUUUUUGAGGUUCAUGCAGGGCAUAGCAUCUGGUAGCAGUUUGUUCUUUUUUAUUUCCCAGUGGAAUUCCAUUAUGUGGAUGUAUCACGUUUUUAUUCGUUCACCAAUAUUUAGGUUGUUUCUGGGUUUGUCAGGAAUAAUGCUACUGUGAACAUUUAUGUGCAGGUCUUUGUGUGUCUAUAUGUAUUAUUUCCCUUGGGUAAAUACCUAGAGUGGAAUCCUGAGUGAUAGGGUGGUUUUAUGGUUAACAACUUGAUAAAAUGCCAGAUUGUUUUUCAAAGUGGCUGCAGUGGUCCUGUUUUAGUUUUUUGUUUUUGUCUUUUUAGGGCCACACCUGUGGCAUAUGGAGGUUCCCAGGCUAGGGGUUGAAAUGGAGCUGUAGCUGCCGGCCAACACCACAGCCACAGCAACACGGAUCCAAGCUGUGUCUGCGCCCUACACCACAGCUCAUGGCAAUGCCGGACCCUUAACCCACUGAGCAAGGCCAGGGAUUGAACCCGAGUCCUCAUGGAUACUAUUCAGGUUUGUUAACCCUUGAGCCAUGACAGGAACUCCAGGCCUGUUUUCUUUUUUCUUUUUUUUCUCUUUUUAUCUUUUCUGGCGCUGCACUCUCAGUAUAUGGAGGUUCCCAGGCUUAGGGGUCCAAUCAGAGCUGUAGCUGCCGGCCUACGCCACAGCUACAACCACAGCAGAUCCGAGCCACGUCUGUGACCUACACCACAGCUCACAGCAAUGCCGGAUUCUUAACCCACUGGGCAAGGCCAGGGAUUGAACCCACAACUUCAUGAUUCCUAGUCGGAUUCAUUAACCACUGGGCCAUGAUGGGAAAUCCCAGUCCUGUUUUUUUAAUGUUUAUGGUGAAGACAGUAUCUACUGUUACUACCUCUAUCUGGUGGUUUUUUGUUUUAAUCUAUGGGCCAGGAUUAUGUCAGUAUAAGUCUUUCCAUCUAAUUCUCACAAAAAUUCCAGGUGGUAGGAGGCACCAGUAUUAUUAUUCCCAUGUACAUCUUGGAUUUCACUCUGUUCAUCACUUCAGUUGCUCCAGUGUCGGUAACCUGGUAUUUAACAAGCAUGCCGAAUACAUCAAGGGGAAAGGCCCCACGUGGUCUCAGGGAGAACAGAGAAGUUUCAAUAUUGGUUGAUAUUUGAAGCCUGAGUAAUUUAUGAACAAUUCUAAAAUAAUGUAUGGCUGAAUUGAAGGAGAUGAAGGAAGAGGCAAAUCUUUGUCUUGAGUGACCCAUUUAUGUAGGAAAUGUCAUGCAUUUUAGAAGGCGAGGAACCAGACUGGCACCUGAGAAGUAUCCCAUGACUGCCCCAUGCUGGCUGUAACUCAAGCUUAGCUCCUGACAGGCCUGAGACCAGGUAAAUGAAUUCUUCCAGGGCACAGCCUAGUCCUAUUUAUCAUUAUAUCCCUGAUGACUAGAUCGUAACAGGGGCUUGAUGUGUACUUUGGUUGAUCAAAUGUGGCAACACAUAAAUAUACACUUUUCAGAGAUAUUCUCAGAGGAAUUAGAAUCAGAUCGUGAUAAGUACAUACCAAAGAGAAGCACCAAACCACAGGAUUGAUAGAUUAUGAUUGCCAAAACUCUAAAUCCAUACUAGCAAGGUAAUUCUCACCCUGUGCUUUAAAUUACUCAUUAUGAAUUUUCUCCCAAGGCCAAAUUAAGUUUACGGGGGUGCUUUUAUUGCAUGCAGUCAUAUUCACUUGGUCUCAUUAAAAAAAAAAACACAUUAAAGAUGGUCUAGCAGUGUGGAACUAGGGUAUGGCAAACAUUUUUAGGGGGAACAAGGCAAAUUUCCUCUGUGUAUAUGGUAUUAAAUGAAACAAAAUAGUAUCUAAAUAAAGUCAUAAUUUUUCGUGCCGGUUAAGAGUUAGAUUUAGGAGUUCCUGUUGUGGCUCAGUGGUAAUGAACCCGACUAAUAUCCAUGAGGAUGCGGGUUCAAUCCCUGGCCUUGUUCAGUGGGUUAAGGAUCCAGCAUUGCUGUGAGCUAUGGUGUAGGUCACAGAUGCAGCUUGGAUCUGGUGUUGCUGUGGCUGUGCUAUAGGCCAGCAGCUACAGCUCCAAUUCUGCAGGUGCAGCCCUAAAAUGACACACAAAAAAAGUUAGAUUUAGAUCCUAAUAGCAUCUCAAAUAUUUAUUUAUUUAUUUUUAGUCAAUCUUGAAAAAAUUUUUUUAUUGUUAUUUCCCCAAUACAGUUUUUCUUCUAUUGUACAGCAUGGUGACCCAGUUACACAUACAUGUAUACAUUCUUUUUUCUCACAUUAUAUGCUCCAUCAUAAGUGAUUAGACAUAGUUCUCAGUGCUACACAGCAGAAUCUCAUUGCUAAUCCAUUCCAAAGGCAAUAGUCUGCAUCUAUUAACCCCAAGCUCCCAAUCCAUUCCACUUCCUUACCCCCUUAGCAACCACAAGUCUAUUCUCCAAGUCCAUGAUUUUCUUUUCUGUGGAAAGGUUCAUUUGUGCUGUAUAAUAGAUUCCAGAUAUGAGUGAUAUCAUAUGGUAUUUGUCUUUCUCUUUCUGACUUAUUUCACUCAGGAUGAGAGUCUCUAGUUCCAUCCAUUUUGCUGCAAAUGGCAUUAUGUCAUUCUUUUUCAUGGCUGAGUAGUAUUCCAUUGUGUAUAUAUACCACCUCUUCCUAAUCCAAUCAUCUGUCUAUGGACAUUUAAGUUGUUUCCAUGUCUUGGCUAUUGUGAACAGUGCUUUGAUGAACAUGCAGGUGCAUGUGUCUUUUUAAAAGAAAGUUUUGUCCAGAUAUAUGCCCAAGAGUGGGAUUGCUGGGUCAUAUGGUAGUUCUAUGUAUAGAUUUCUAAGUUAUCUCCAUACUGAUCUCCAUAAUGGCUGUACCAGCUUACAUUCCCACAACAGUGCAGAAAGGUUCCCUUUUCUCCACACCUCCUCCAGAAUUUAUUAUUUGUAGACUUAUUAAUGAUGUCCAUUCUGACUGGUGUGAGGUGUUAUCUCAUGAUAGUUUUGAUUUGCAUUUCUCUAAUAAUCAGUGAUGUGGAGCAUUUUUUCAUGUGCUUGUUUGCCAACUGUACAUCUUCCUUGGAGAAAUGUCUAUUCAUGUCUUUUGCCCAUUUUUCCAUUGGGUUGUUGGCUUUUUUGCUGUUGAGUUGUAUUAAGUUGCUUGUAUAUUUUCGAGAUUAAGCAAAUAUUUAUUUUUUAUAUUGAGGAGCUUUAACUUAAUAAAUACAUAAUAAUUUUCUCUAAUUGACUUUGAAUGAAGACAAAGGCAGAUAAAUAAUUAAGGCAAAGAUGUUGAUUGAUUAUGUCAUUGACAUACUUACUUCUUGAUUAAAGCUGGAAUAAAUCCAGUGGGGGAAAGACAAUGCAUGACUGAUAUUUUCAUGCCCUGCUUCAGUGUUUGCUCAGGAAACAACUUGGCAAUAAUCAUCAAAAGCCUUGAAGAUGCUUGUGCUUGUCAACUAGGUAAUCUCUCUUCUUGAGAUUUACCCAAAGAAUAUAAAUGUAGGAAAUAUGGCAAUACUAAGGGAAAGCUCUCUGAAGAACAAUAUUAAUCACAGGCUCUUCUUUCCAUUUUUGGCCCUGAAAACCACUUAUUUAGGCAACAAUAGAGGGUGAUUAUGUAUAUAUCAAAUAACCCACUUAGUGGCCUAUAAGAUAGCCGUUAAUAAUGUGGGUGAUUAUAAUUAUGUAGCACACAGGAAAAUGCUCAUGAUGAAGUCCUACAUAAAGCUGAUAUAAAGUCUUACAUGUGUUGUAAUAAAUUUAUUUAUUUUUAUGUAUGGAUGAAAAAUUCCUGAAAUAUUGUACCAUAAUUCUGACAGAAUUAGGGUCCUGUGCUUAGGGACUCUGUCUCUUUUCUGGUUCCAUGUGCAGUUAUGUUAUAUCAAGGAAAAUGAAGAACGAUGAUGAAAUUAAUCAUUAAACUUUUAGCUUAAAAUAAAUCUUAAAUUUUCUUGUCCUUAGGGCUAAAUAACUUUUAUUGAUUGUUAAUCAUGGGCUGUAUAUGAGGCUUCCGUAUAUGAGGUUAUUUAACUUGAUUACUGAUUCACAGCACAAAUAACAUUCUUACCAUCAUUUUGAUUGGGAAAUGGUAGCUUAGAGAGGUCAGUGUGUCAGGUGAGGUUAAGUAAGGUGGUAAGUACAGCAUUGCAUGAAAUCCCAGUCCUGGCCAGUUCCCACCAGAGCAUAACCUCUUAACCAAUGUACUUGUCUAACCUUAGAAACUGGAUCUUGGCAAUAAACUUGAGACCCUUCUGAUGAAGUGCAUGAAAGGGAAAAAAAAGUACGUUUUUCCUAGAUUUGGGUUUUGCAUAAACAGAAUUUUCCUGUGUUUGAAUUUUUCACGGGUAGCCGGGACAUUUGGGAACAUGAAAUCAGACGCGGGGGAUCGGAAGGCAGAGCAAGCCAAAGCUCUUGGCAUGUUUCCUCUUGACUAGUUUUGCUUUUCCACUUCAGUUGACUCUAAACUAUCACCACUUGAUUGCCUGGUUUCUGGGAUCAUUGGGUUAGGUUUCUUGGGGAUGAGAGAAGCUGACCAUAUUUGGUAUUCCUGGACAACUCUCCAUUGUCCACAUAGGAGAGUUUUGGGAAAUAUGCAGUCUGUACGAAAUAAAGCAGGAAUGGUAUUGCCUGCUCAGUGAAUUGUAAAGGUGAAGUGUUACUAUAGCUGCAACCCUGAUUCCAGGGCCAAGGUCACUGUCAAAUGUGACCUUUCAAAUGGAAAGACAACCUACAGGAUGGGAAAAAGUAGUUUCAAAGGAUGAAACUGACAGGGGCUUAAUCUCCAAAAUAUACAAUCGACUCAUACAACUCAACAGCAAAAAAGCCAACAAUCCAAUGGAAAAAUGGGCAAAAGACCUGAAUA